ensembl:lncRNA
ACAAAGCAGACUUACAUGGAGAGACUACACAGACUGAAUGACAUGUAUGCUUUUAGCCCCGAGAUGAUUUUCUGGGCUACACUUAGUAACUACAAAAACAGCAGCCCAAAGCCCUUCAUGCCUGCCGCCACAGAGAAGAACUCCAGGUGCUGGGAAAAAAGACCAGAAAUAUACCAUCCAGGUGCCAGUGGUGAAUUCACAUGCCAGAGAGUAAGAAGACAUCUUAUUUUAAAUAUGAAGAUGAUUUUGAUCUACAUGAUCAUCGCAGCUCCAGCAAUGACCGCUGUGGCACAAGGGUCUUCAGAAUGCAAUCUAACUGAACCUGGGCCCCAGACAUGUUUUGGAGUUUUAGGAGAACCGCUCGUUUUUUACAUACCUACUAAACCACAUAUAAAGACAAGCUUGAAAAAGAGUACAGAUAAGAUUUUAAUGUUAAUAAAUGAUAAAUUAGUUAGUCUCAAUGAAAAAUACAAGAAUCGUACUAUAUUCUCCACAAAUGGAACAUUGAAGCUCAACAAAGCAACAAAAAAUGACUCUGGAGAGUACAGCAUGGAAACACACAAUUCUACUGAAGGUGUGUUAUUGUACACAGUUAACAUCCAUCUACAUAUACUAGCUCCUGUGUCAGAACCAGCUGUUACGCAGAUGUGUUUGUCACCAAAACAGAUGACAGUCAGCUGUUUCUCUGAAGGAGACGAAGUAGAGUUCAUUUUGUCUUUGGAUGAUAAGUUGUUGAUACAGUCUACAGCUGACGGUAUAGAAAACAACAACAUUUCAAAUGUUACCAUCAACUUACCUGGUCAGCUGAUGGGAAACCUGACAUGUGUUGCUCAAAACAAUGCCAGCAGAAAACAAACUAUCACCCACCUUACAAGCUGCACAGCUCCUGUGUCAGAACCAGCUGUUUCGCAGAUGUGUUUGUCACCAAAACAGAUGACAGUCAGUUGCUCCUCUGAAGGAGAUGAAGUAGAGUUCACCUUGUUUUUGGAUGAUAACUUGUUGAUAAAAACCCAACCCAGCAUUGCAGAAAACCACAACAUUUCAAAUGUUACCAUCAGUUUACAUGGUCAGCUGAUGGGAAAUUUUAUGUGUAUCGUCCAAAACAACAUCAGCAGAGAACAAACCAUCAUCCACCUUAUAAGCUGCACAGGUAAUAUUUCUGACCACUGCAUUGUGACCAUGGCUGUGGUAGUAAGCAUUGCCAUUCUACUCAUUCUGGCUGUGUUUCUUGGUAUCCGGAAAUUCAAAAACACAACUGGCAUUAUGACUGUUCAUGAAGAUGAAGCUGAAGAGGACGUUGUCUACUCAGAUAUUAGACUGAAGCAGCGUGCAAGAGAAACAAGAGAAACACCACCUAUUUCAAAUCAAGAUGAAAGUUAACGUUCUCCUAAACAGUCUGACAUUCUGAAACCUAAAACCUAACAUGUUGACUUUCGGUCAACUGGCUAAUAAAACUAUGCCAGUUUAGCAGUUCCAUCUUUGCAGUGAACGUGAAGGUAAACAUAUUUAACAAGCACUCACUGGAUUACUUUAAUUUUGAAGAAAACAUAAAGGGGAAAAAGUUAUUUCGAAGGCAUUUAAUAUACAUGAAAUACUUAUUUAUACUUAUUUAUAAAUGCUUUAUAUUUGAACUACAUUUUAUUUGACAUAAUUUAAAUAAACUACAUCAACCUUGUAAAAGUUCUAACCAACAUUUUACAUUUAACCUUGGAGAUUGAAUAAAAGGCUUUGGUCAGUGAUGGUGCUUUCCUUGUGUUGUGUUAAGCAGACGUGGGCUGUGCCUCAUGUUUGAGAUAAAAACAUCAGGGCUACUUUUUUCUGUGUUGUCAUGACAUUAAAACCACAAACUAUAUCCUGUUUUCACUGAGCUGCUAAACCUCUAAACCAUGUGACAUUACCUAAGCUGCACAGUUGUCAGUGAGAAAGGAAAAAUACCUGUAUAAUGCAUAAAACACUGGCUUGUUUGUUGACGAUUAUUGAUCAUAGUAGAGACUUAAGAGAUCUAAGAUCAUGAAAAGAAGGUUUUAAUUUUUUUGAAGAUGUUUUACCUCUCAUCAGGUGGAAAGUACCUGUUAUCUAACCCCUAGUAGGGGCUGUCCCUUAGGAGGUGAUCAUUGAUCCACUAUUAAUCAUCUGCGACAUGACAUUAGCCAUGGUGUGUAAAAAGGCAUGGGCCAUUACCACCAAAGGUUUUGGAUGAAACCACUGUAAGACCUUUACCCUAUCAUGUGACCUAUUGAGGGAUCUCAGGACUGCGUUGUGGGUAGCUGACAGUUGGUGUCGUAAGCUGCUCGCUCUGUUCAAAGGUGGUUGUUCACAGUGGAAAUAGAUGGUCUCUUUUGCUCCUCUUUUAAACCAACCAUCUGUCUUUUCAGUCCAAAAUGUGAACAUUGGCAUCCCUGAAAUAGUGACUUUGUCCUUUAGGUGCAGAUGUACAGCUGAGUCUUGUCCUGUCGAGGUGGCUCUUCUAUGUUGUGUCAUGUAUUUGUCGAGUGGCUAUGCCGUUUCUCCAGUGUAGAGCUCACUGCACUGCACAGCAUAUGCUUUGUUGUUUGUCUUGUGUUUUGGAUGACUGAGAACCAACAAAGACAUCAAGCAGCAAUACAAAAACAUGAAGGGCACAAACUCCCCUGCAGGCAAUUCUUCUAAGUAGUAUUUUAAUAUAGUUUCAUUAUCUUGUGUAAGGUGACAUAAAUCCAUCAAUAAUUUAUUUUAUAUGCUUGACAUGUGUGAAAGAGUCAGUACAUGGAGUUUGUGAGACACGUAUAACUGUGUGUGUUUGGUCGGCAACCUGGUGAUGCAAUUAAAAUUUCAUUGUGUUUUCAAAUGAAAAUAAAGGCUUUGAAUCUUGUUGACCAACAUUUAGAUUUUCAGUAAUAUUUGUCCAGUUUUGUGAUCCUAUGGCAUUUUUGAAGUAUAAAAAAGUCUGUGCUCUCCUCAUGUUUUACAUAAAUCUGCCUCAAAGUGUUACAUUUAUUCUCUGUAUGUAUCUCAAUCAUACAAACCAUUAUGUUUAAGUCAAGCAUAACGUAGAAAGGAACAACGCUGUAAUAACCUCGCAUUAAACAAGAAUUGGUGUUUUCCUUUACAUGUAUUAUUUGGUGAUUUGUGAUAAUUCUGUGAUGAUCUAGUAAAAGCUGUAGCCUUUAAUAGUAAAUGUAAAAAUGCAUAGUAUCAGCACUCAUCACAUGGUGGAGCC